rnacentral:rRNA from 1 species
UGGAAGUAAAAAGUCGUAACAAGGUUUCCGUAGGUGAACCUGCGGAAGGAUCAUUACCGAGUGAGGGCCCUCUGGGUCCAACCUCCCACCCGUGUUUAUCGUACCUUGUUGCUUCGGCGGGCCCGCCUCACGGCCGCCGGGGGGCAUCUGCCCCCGGGCCCGCGCCCGCCGAAGACACACAAACGAACUCUUGCUGAAGAUUGCAGUCUGAGUACUUGACUAAAUCAGUUAAAACUUUCAACAACGGAUCUCUUGGUUCCGGCAUCGAUGAAGAACGCAGCGAAAUGCGAUAAGUAAUGUGAAUUGCAGAAUUCAGAAUCAUCGAGUCUUUGAACGCACAUUGCGCCCCCUGGUAUUCCGGGGGGCAUGCCUGUCCGAGCGUCAUUGCUGCCCUCAAGCACGGCUUGUGUGUUGGGCUCUCGCCCCCCGCUUCCGGGGGGCGGGCCCGAAAGGCAGCGGCGGCACCGCGUCCGGUCCUCGAGCGUAUGGGGCUUCGUCACCCGCUCUGUAGGCCCGGCCGGCGCCCGCCGGCGAACACCAUCAAUCUAACCAGGUGACCUCGAUCAGAGACC